AUUGAACGCUGGCGGCAGGCCUAACACAUGCAAGUCGAACGAGUGGCGGACGUGUGAGUAAUGUCUGGGAAACUGCCCGAUGGAGGGGGAUAACUACUGGAAACGGUAGCUAAUACCGCAUACCAUCGGCUUUGCCCAGAUGGGAUUAGCUGGUAGGUGGGGUAACGGCUCACCUGGGCGACGAUCCCUAGCUGGUCUGAGAGGAUGACCAGCAACACUGGAACUGAGACACGGCCCAGACUCCUAAGGGAGGCAGCAGUGGGGAAUAUUGCACAAGGGGGGCAAGCCUGAUGCAGCCAUGCCGGGGGGAUGAAGAAGGCCUUCGGGUUGUAAAGUACUUUCAGCGAGGAGGCGUUACUCGCAGAAGAAGCACCGGCUAACUCCGUGCCAGCAGCCGCGGUAAUUC
rnacentral:rRNA from 1 species